rnacentral:rRNA from 1 species
UACGUAGGGUGCAAGCGUUGUCCGGAAUUAUUGGGCGUAAAGAGCUCGUAGGCGGUCUGUCGCGUCUGCUGUGAAAUCUGGGGGCUCAACCCCCAGCCUGCAGUGGGUACGGGCAGACUAGAGUGCGGUAGGGGAGAUUGGAACUCCUGGUGUAGCGGUGGAAUGCGCAGAUAUCAGGAAGAACACCGAUGGCGAAGGCAGAUCUCUGGGCCGUAACUGACGCUGAGGAGCGAAAGCAUGGGGAGCGAACAGG